rnacentral:lncRNA from 1 species
ACUUGCAAUCAUUCAGGGCAAAAACAGCAGCUGCCUGAUAGAAGACUGUUUCAAGAUGUUAUGGAAUACAUGUUUGUGUCUCUGCAAAAUGCAGAUGUUGGAGCCGUGGAGGUGGGUGGCUUUGGGAGAUAAACCCUUCGGAGGCAGCUCAUGGCCUUUCAAAUUCAUGCAUUACACAUGCAGAUUUCAGGGCUCCAUCCCAGACCUCAGGAGUCGGCAUCAGGCGCAUGGAAGUUUGAGGAGUGCUGAGGUUGAGGGAUGAAGUCACACAAGGAAGUUCCCGCCUUGAACACAAGACAGGUGCUACAGCAACGCGACUCCCGCCCUGCUGGUGUUGGGGGCACCUUGGAGGAAGCUGGCUGCACACUGGGAUCUACUGCAUGCAGCUACCUGGUGAGCUUUGAAAAAUCCCACACCAAUACAAUCCGAUGGUGGAGGGGGUCCCAAGACCCAGAGCUCAGUGUUUAUAAAGCUCUCCAAGUGCUUGCAGUGGGCAUUCAGAACCGAGGGCCUCCGACUUAACCUGAACCUCCUCUCAGGUCCCUGUGGAGAAUGCAAAGAGCUCUCUUUUCUUCCUGUUAAGGAGUAGUUGUGUCUCUGCACACACAAAUAUGUAUAAUUAAGCAAGAACAACAUCCAGGCGCAGCCCUGACUGCAGUCUAUAGCCAGAUGACAGGUGUGCCUAAAGGUAAGGGAGCAAAGGCUUUCAGUCAAAAUUCUUUUUAGAGGCCAGGUGCGGUGGCUCACGCCUGUAAUCCCAGCACAUUGGGAGGCUGAGGCAGGCGGAUCACGAGGUGAGGAGUUUGAGACCAGCCUGGCCAACAUAGUGAAACCUUGUCUCUACUAAAAAUACAAAAAUUAGCCAGGCGUGGUGGCGUGCACCUGUAAUCCUAGCUACUCGGGAGGCUGAGGCAGGAAAAUGGCUUGAACCCAGGAGGUGGAGGUUGUGGUGAGCUGCGAUCGUGCCACUGCACUCCAGCCUGGGCAACAGAGCAAGACUCCAUCUCAAAAAAAAAAAAAAUCACUUACAAAAGCAAUCUGGUAAGUAGUUGUACCCAGAAACUGAGAGUCCACACAAAUGUGGUAGAUGAAGGGAAAAGCCAACGUUCCCAAUGCGGAACAAAGCCACGGAGCCGAACGCUAAACGCAGAGCGAAGUCACGCCAAUCCCCUGCAAAACCACGCGAGUGGUCCACUGGGAGCGGGACAGACUGAAAAAAGGGCAGCAUUUGAGUGAAGUCAGAUACAACCACGUGCCCUCUGGCAAACCGACAGGCGACUCAAAGUGGAGCUGGUGACGAUGAGACCAACACUACAAUCACCAGGUUGCACCACACAAAACUGCUUCUAUUCAACUGUUUUGACCUCAAAGCAUCCAUUUCAUAAGGCUCCAUUUUAUAACAUACCAAGGAAAAUAGCAACAUUUCUAAAUUUGAAUGUUUAUAAUGCAUAACUUUAAAUAUGAAUGUAUAACUACAUCAAUAAGUUACUUAAUGGCAGGCAUUUGAUGAGUCCACUUACAUCACUAGAGACUUUUAUAUCUAAAUGUGUUAUGUAAUUCAAAAGAAACCCUGCUUCCUGGGAAAACGGGAUUACCAUAUAAUCAGGGUUAAUUUCUGUGACUAUUUGGCACGUAUGAGGCCCACUUAAGAACAGAGGGCUGGGUGCGGUGGCUCACACCUGUAACCCCAGCAUUUUGGGAGGCUGCAGUGGGCAGGUCACCUGAGGCCAGAAGUUCGAGACCAGCCUGGCCCACAUGGCAAAACGCUGUCUCUACUAAAAAUAUAAAAAUUAGCUGGGCAUGGUGGUGAGCACCUGUAAUCCCAGCUACUUGGGAGGCUGAGACAGGAGAAUCACUUCAACCCAGGAGGCAGAGGUUGCAGUUAGCUGAGAUUGCACCACUGCACUCCAGCUUGGGUGAUAGAGCAAGACUCUGUUUCAAAAAAGUAAAAACUAAAAACAGAGAGAUACACCUGCUGCCUGCCGACCUGCAGGCAACACCAACAUCCCUUUUCUCUUCAGAUCUUUUCUCGGGCCAUUGGCCACAGUGCCGCCUCUACUGCAAAACAUGUACCCAGGAGGGAAAGGCAGGCAGCCUCCUAUUCCUUUCUGGAGAGAGGAGCAUGGGGCAGGGGGCUGUUGGAUUUCUGGGGAGGAAACUGCACAGAUGGAUGGAGGAACCCGCCUCACUCCCCUGCAUCUCCUGAAGAGGUGUCCGUGCCCUGCCAGCUGGGGAGUCAGUCCCACUGAAUCACUGCUGUUAAGGGGCUCAGCCCUGCAGGAGUGCCAGGAAGGGCUUCCGUUUCUUCUGCGAGUGUUGCUGAUAUGUAUGUGAAAAUCACACAAGGGCAAGGGCUUCACCCUGUGCGUCUAUUAAAACCAAGUGCAGCAUUGGCAAGGUUUCUGCCUGGAAAUGAUCAAUGACCAUCGUAAAACUCAGGCAUUUGAGGUGACCUUGCAGACGUGUCCCCUCUGAAAGGUCUUAGUCUUGUGCAGCCUGCUCUGGGGCCGAGGGGAAAAGGCUGACAUGUGGCACGUCUCCAGCAUAUGCAGAUGGUAUGCCUGCUCUUCCCAGUGGACCCCUCGUAGGCCUCCACGGCAGCACGGAACGUUCCACAACAAUCCUCAGGGCUGAUGCCGGCCACUGAGGUUGGCACGGGUCCACGUCUUGCUCAAAGUUGCAGAGGUAGGAGUGGCGAGUGGUCCAGGGACCCCAUCUCAUGGAAUGAAUUCCACCCUCCUAUGUGAAUAAGAGGUUGUACUGAAUGGAGCUUUAAUCGGAAGCGGGAAUCAAAGAACCAGGUCACUGCCCAUCUCCACCAUUUACUCAUUAUCUUUCCUAGCAUGGGUCACUGGCUUUUAAUUUUCCAGUCUAUAAAUAGAACUGCUCCAUGAGAUCAUGGAAGGGUGUCUCCAAAGUCCUUCAACAGGGACAGGUGUCUGUUCUCACUGUUCACUAGUGCCCCCAUGAGGCAGGGCCAGGUGUGAGGCAGUUCUGAGGGCAGGUGGUCCCAAGGGCUCUGCCCCUUGUAGGCAUUUUACUCUCAUCAGAAUUAGGGUUUGCUUAAUUCUAGCUGGAGUCCUAGUGGGCACUGUUCACACAGCUGUGGGCUAUGAGUGGCUCUGACUCACCUGGGAGAAUUUUUGAGAAUUUUGGGGUGUUUGCUUAACUGCCUGGAGCUGUGUCUGGGCCAGCCCCCUAGAGGAUGCUUCCAUGUGUUAGGUGAGAAGACAAGUUACAAAGUGGCAUGUACAGAAACCACCCCGUUUUUGUUUAAUAUAGAUGUGUGUAUACCUAUGUAACAGUUUGGAAGACAAACCGUUAUAAAAAUUUACCAUGUCAUCA